AACUUUUUGUGUAGAGAUGUGGAAUGAUAGGGUAACGCCUUGAAACGCACCACUAAUACUCCUUACGGUGUCUUACCUGUUGUAGAAGGUAAGGAAUUGGUAGCAAGGUGAAGAGCUGGGGACAGCAGACCGAAAGAAUAUUUGAAGAACUUUAAAUAUUACUCGAAACCGACUCAGAGGUGAGUUGUGUCUGUGAUACCUAUGGUGUCUAUAAA
rnacentral:ncRNA from 1 species